GGCCCGGUAGGCAAAUUGGCAAAGCCGCCGCACUCAAAAUGCGGUGCCUGUGGGUUCGAGUCCCACCCGGGCUACCA
rnacentral:tRNA from 1 species